UUGUUGACAAUGGCUACAUUGCGGGC
rnacentral:piRNA from 1 species